GUUGGUACACCAAUUCCCGUACGAUCAACAAAGUUAAACAACGUUGAGCCUGAACAGUACUAGAUGGGUGACCACUUGGGAAUACCAGGUGCUGUAAG